UAGGUAAUGCAGUUUGUGUUUUGUCAGUCAAGUUGGAGGACAAGUAGCAGCUGGGAUCGCGCCUCACUCUGCAGAAGAUGGAAGACGUGAGGAGGAAUGCGCAGUUACAUUUCCGAUCUUCUCUUUAAGGAAAACCAAUCCAACUGGCAAACCCACAACAAAUAAGACAGAUGAAAAACGAAGAGCAGGAUUAUCUUCCCUCUAUUAAAUGUUGUUGCAAACACCCCAUUAUGCCACUUAUAGUCCCCAAACCCCAAUAAUCAUGCAUUUGUUCAUCUAGCUUCAAAGUAACUAUUCUUUACUAUGUAGCCUUUCUAUGGCUGCACUGGCUCCCUCCCCGAAGAACCCCCUGAAACCACACCCAGAGCUACUUCCAACCUCCCUCUUAGCCAGGCCUUUGUUUAUCUCUUUGUUUAUCAGAAAGGACUGAAAUAACUAACUAGCUAGCCUAGGGGAAGACAGAAGUUGCAGUCAUGAUUGUCUACUCCCCCUUAGCAGAGGCCAGCAGAGCCCACAGCACAAUGGAGCACUAACUUCCAGACAUACCCACUUAGUUUGGGUGGGGUGCACCUGGAAGAGAGCACACCUACAGCAAAAUGAGGGUGAAGUGGCACCAGAUGACCUUUGUCAACGAUUGCCCAAGAGGUUUCUGAAACCAGUUUCUCCAGCCUUGUAGAAAUGUUUGUUUAUGCAAGAGGCUGUUCUCAGGAUCCAAAGGUCAGCCUCCUUUGCCAAGGCCACCUCCUCCAUAGAAGGAGCGCUUCUGACUUUGUCCUUCCUUGACCGCUCCCUGGUGAUCAGGGCUCCUACCUGAUUGUCACAGCCUGACCACUAACUUAGCUUUUGAUCGUGCCACCCACUACCUCAUCUUGAGGAUGGCUACACUACAUCACCACAUCACCAGUGUCCAGGAGUUGUGAAUACAGAGAGGCAAGGUCAUUUCACUAGUGCAGGUUGACCUGUGAUAUUUGCCUUAUGUAUGUGUAUCACCUCUGGCUAAUUAGCUCUGUGCAUAGCGAGUGCUCAGUAAAUGAGAACUGGUGAGCCGGAAGGAAUCUGCCAAGGAUAAAUAGUGAAGAAAAGCCUGUGGAUGAGGCCCCUCCUUGUUGGUAGAAUUGUGCAGGCACUACCGUGGUUAUGGGCUCAACUAAGUGAGCUGUGACAUCAGCACUGCUGAGACCAGGCAGAAGAGAACUGUGACAUCAGCACUGCUGGGAUCAUACAGGAGAGGACUGUGACGUCAGCACUGCUGAGACCAGGCAGAAGAGAACUGUGACAUCAGCACUGCUGGGAUCAUACAAGAGAGGACUGUGACAUCAGCACUGCUGAGACCAGGCAGAAGAGAACUGUGACAUCAGCACUGCUGGGAUCAUACAGGAGAGGACUGUGAUGUCAGCACUGCUGAGACCAGGCAGAAGAGAACUGUGACAUCAGCACUGCUGGGAUCAUACAAGAGAGGACUGUGACAUCAGCACUGCUGAGACCAGGCAGAAGAGAACUGUGACAUCAGCACUGCUGGGAUCAUACAGGAGAGGACUGUGAUGUCAGCACUGCUGAGACCAGGCAGAAGAGAACUGUGUCAUCAGCACUGCUGGGAUCAUACAGGAGAGGACUGUGAUGUCAGCACUGCUGAGACCAGGCAGAAGAGAACUGUGUCAUCAGCACUGCUGGGAUCAUACAGGAGAGGACUGUGAUGUCAGCACUGCUGAGACCAGGCAGAAGAGAACUGUGACAUCAGCACUGCUGGGAUCAUACAGGAGAGGACUGUGAUGUCAGCACUGCUGAGACCAGGCAGAAGAGAACUGUGACAUCAGCACUGCUGGGAUCAUACAGGAGAGGACUGUGACAUCAGCACUGCUGAGACCAGGCAGAAGAGAAGAUAGUAUUUCUAUUAUAAUGCAUGGAGUGUUUUUGGAAUGUCACAUAAAUAAUAUGUCUUAGUUCCCUCAUCCCUACACACUGUCUCCCAGUCAGAAUUCUGGGCACAGUCAGUCCCUCUGUGGGCUAAACUUCAAAAUGGACAUCUGAUUAACAUUGUAAGGGGCACUACUCUGAGAUGGAUCUAUCCCUUAACCACUGAGACUGUGGUCUGCUCAGAGAUUGAGGAUGCUCACCGGGGACUGACGGUGACCUCAUAGACUAAGAGAGCUGGGUCAAGCAGCGCAAACCAGGAGCCAUUAGGCAUCAAGGACAACGGAGAAGCAGUUUCCUUAGACAUCUGAGCCCACCUGGAAU